rnacentral:rRNA from 1 species
CGACCUCCGAAGUUAAGCGGCACAGGGCCCGGUUAGUACUAGGGUGGGGGACCGCCUGGGAAGACCUCAGGGCGCUGUCAGCU